rnacentral:misc_RNA from 1 species
GAUGAAGAACGUAGCGAAAUGCGAUAAGUAAUGUGAAUUGCAGAAUUCAGUGAAUCAUCGAAUCUUUGAACGCACAUUGCGCCCGCCAGUAUUCUGGCGGGCAUGCCUGUUCGAGCGUCAUUUCAACCAUCAAGCCCCCGGCUUGUGUUGGGGACCUGCGGCUGCCGCAGGCCCUGAAAAGCAGUGGCGGGCUCGCUGUCACACCGAGCGUAGUAGAUUUCAUCUCGCUCAGGGCGUGCUGCGGGUUCCGGCCGUUAAACCACCUUCAUAACCCAAGGUUGACCUCGGAUCAGGUAGGAAGACCCGCUGAACUUAUGCAUAUCAAUAAGCGGAGGA